GCGAGAUUAGCUCAGUUGGUUAGAGCGUCUGAUUGUGGUCCAGAAGGUCGCUGGUUCGAACCCAGUAUCUCGCCCCA
rnacentral:tRNA from 1 species